AGCGUCGCUCCCGCACAGAUGGGCCAAGCCCAACAAAUCCGUUUCGCACCAAUACCUCGCCUCCUUUGAUCUCCCAGGAACCCCACGCGCUAGGGUUUGGCCCCGCUGCCGCUCGACCAUGUCGAGCACCACCUGUCCACCGCAGCUCGCCAGGGCGUCGCCCGCCGCCCCUCUACCUGGCCCGGCUCUGCUCGAGCUCGGCCAGGACAGGAGAUCGCCCCGAUCGACCACAGUUUGGCGAAGCCAGCGGGCCCUGGGCAGGUACAUGCGGCGCGGCCGCACAUCCCCCCCCCCCCCACGUCGGCAGGGCCCCCCACCAAGACUCCUCGCUCAAUCACGCCGACUAUGGAACGCCUCGCGAUUUCUGGCCAUUUAGAUGGAAAUAAUGGCGGAGGAGAUGGAGAUCUCGAUUUGCUGCUUUCCAUCAAUUCCCUCGUCAAUCUCCAACGAUCGAGAUUGGGCCGGUGGUUGCAGCUUCCUUUCUUUUGGUGGCAUCUGGUAUUCUGUUUUCGUUGGGGUGUGCCCUUCUGAUGUUUGGUGAAAGGUUCAACCAUGAUCCUUGGUGGGGUUCUAAAAUUUAGGGGCUGCAGCUGGUAUGUUUGGUUCUGCAUUGGUCCUUUUGAUACUCUCCUUUUAAUUCUUUUUAUCAUUUGGUGUAUGAUUGAUGGAUUCUUUUUGUUUAUUUUGCCAUUGUUGCGUUGGGUUUGAACGGGGUGUGCUCCGCCCAUCGAUGAGUACCGGUUGCCAUGAACUGGUCAGAGUGGCGGCACAAGGGUUUCGAUUGGGAGGCGCCUGCUGUGUGCUGGUGCUGCGGUCGUCUUCAGGCGACCACGUCCAUGAGCUGCUGCCGCCGGCGACGUUCCUAAUCAGCUGCUGGCCACCGCCACAACCUUCUGCUCCCCGGUGACGUCCCUCUCAUUCUCCAUGUAUUUUUUUCCUAAAAAUUGUUUCCUUGUUCCUGUCAAUGCAUGCAUGCAAAUUUGUUUCAUUAGAUAAACAAUUUCCUACAUGUACAAUAUGAUCCAUAUGUACAACAUCUCCAAUCCAAUUACCUGCUUCUGUCACUACAAGAAUUAUUUUGCUUCAACAUUUGUAAAGUAUAUUUUGGUGGCUUUCAUAAUCAGGUACGUGUAUUGCCUCUAAGAAUCCCAUUUUCUAUGAAGUCGUUGCCAAAGUAGUCUAGAUUUGUUUACAAUAAUACUUCCAUUGUAUGAGGCUACAUGUAAUCCUGCACUGUAGGUCACUUUCCUAAAUGUACCAAGAAACUCUUCACCUGUUAGCAAUUUUUUCUUAUUACCCAAAAUAUUUAUUUUUUCUAAUCUCCACCUGUUAGUGUAAUUUUGGGUUAAGGGUUAAUUGAACUCUUAUAUAGACGUUUUGGAGGCUAUUUGUCUUGCCCAUCCUCACUGCUCGUUUAUGUUGGAUGCAAAUGAAUGCUCCAUACAAAAUCAAGCAAUCAAGGUUCUUGACUAACUAAAUGGCUUGUACAUCUGCAAAUUUGAUACUACGAUAAAAACUCCAUAGUUUUAAUCUUUUCCCAGUAUGUUCAUUUUUUUCAUUAAUAUAUCUCAGUCAUUGGGAGGUUAUUUGAUUCUUCUAAUAAUUUUGCCAUUCGUUUAAGAAAUGGAGUGACUCAUGUACUCUUUGAGCGACCAGUUCAUAGAGAUGAUUGAGGACAUCUCCAUGAUGUUACAUUGCUGCUAUGGACAAAUACAGAAUUGUUGCUGAUGAAAGCUGCCAGAGUUCACUUGAUGCUCAGAAAAUAAUACAUGGAAAUCUUGCUUGUUACAUUGCUGCUAUGGACAAAUACAGAAUUGUUGCUGAUGAAAGCUGUCAGAGUUUGCUUGAUGCUCAGAAAAUAAUACAUGGAAAUCUUGUUCAUGUUAUUAACAUUAAACAUGAGAAGUUAGGGUUCUUAGAGUAAUUAUUGCUGCAAGAAUAGCCGGUAUUGCACUUAUGACUAGGACUUCCAUGGACUGGGCUGAUCAUCUAGCUGUUGGGAUUUGUUUUUUAAGAUUGAUUAAGUGUGAAGAUUUCUCUGCAAAAAGAAGUUACAUGUUAAAAUUAUGAAGUAACAUGUUUUUUUUUGCAACUAGAGGCAAUGCCACUAGGAAGUUCAAACUGGAAAUGAUGGUACAAUGUUUUAGGCCUGGUAUGAUAAUAAGGUGCUAAAAUGAAUCAUCCACUGUUGCCGUAGCAAUUUUAUUGACCUGGACACACCUCUUGUAUUCUCUAAAGAUCUAGCUUCCAGUGACUAUGUAGGUAUUCUUCAACAAAAUCCUGUAAAGCUGCAAUUUCCUCUAGAGAUACAGUUCUGUUUCCGGUGUUAUUCUUAUUAGACAUGACACAUGUUUGUGUCCCAAGAUUUCAUUUAGAAGACCUCCAUGUUGUGAAAAUUAUGUUGUUAUUCUUUGAUAUUAAGAAUUAUACCGCUGCCAUUCUGA